CCACUUUAAGCCCAUAUUAGCCCAAGUACUCCAACCUUCCAAUCAGCCGAUCUCUACCAAUUCCGUCUGCCAAAAUACUGCAGAGCCAAUCGGCCGAUCUCCAACUGUAGCAGCAAUCAGCUGAUUCCCCAUCGUGACCUUUCAGCUUGCCAUAUCAGCCAAUCCUUCCCCUUUUUGGCGUUGAUUUCAUACGUGUCAAAAUCUGGCGUCAACAAUGCCCCCCAGUUUCGCAGUAAAACAUAAUCUUUACUUCGAAAUUCUUUUCAACUUCCCUUCCGAAGCAAACGCAUUAAAGAUAUC
rnacentral:lncRNA from 1 species